UACGAAGGGGCUAGCGUUGCUCGGAAUCACUGGGCGUAAAGGGUGCGUAGGCGGGUCUUUAAGUCAGGGGUGAAAUCCUGGAGCUCAACUCCAGAACUGCCUUUGAUACUGAGGAUCUUGAGUUCGGGAGAGGUGAGUGGAACUGCGAGUGUAGAGGUGAAAUUCGUAGAUAUUCGCAAGAACACCAGUGGCGAAGGCGGCUCACUGGCCCGAUACUGACGCUGAGGCACGAAGCGUGGGAGCAAACAGG
rnacentral:rRNA from 1 species